ACGAGGAGUUAAGAGUUCAUUCGGCUGUCCAGAUGUAUCCAAGUACCCUGUGUUAUUUGGCAAUAAAUACAUCUGGGCAACUGACUGAACUUUUCACUUUUCAA
rfam:Pongo abelii chromosome X.